UGGAGCGUGUGGUUUAAUUCGAUGCAACGCGAAGAACCUUACCUGGGCUCGAACGGCUCACGAAAGCGCCUGGAAACAGGUGUUUCCCGCAAGGGACGGGAGUCGAGGUGCUGCAUGGCUGUCGUCAGCUCGUGUCGUGAGAUGUUGGGUUAAGUCCCGCAACGAGCGCAACCCUUGCCCUGUGUUGCCACUCCGUAAGGAAGCACUCUCAGGGGACCGCCAGCGAUAAGCUGGAGGAAGGUGGGGAUGACGUCAAGUCAGCAUGGCCUUUAUAUCUUGGGCA
rnacentral:rRNA from 1 species